rnacentral:rRNA from 1 species
AAGGCUCACCAAGGCGACGAUACAUAGCCCGACCCUGAGAGGGUGAUCGGCCACACUGGGACUGAGACACGGCCCAGACUCCUACGGGAGGCAGCAGUAGGGAAUCUUCGGCAAUGGACGGAAGUCUGACCGAGCAACGCCGCGUGAGUGAAGAAGGUUUUCGGAUCGUAAAGCUCUGUUGUUAGAGAAGAACGUUGGUAGGAGUGGAAAAUCUACCAAGUGACGGUAACUAACCAGAAAGGGACGGCUAACUACGUGCCAGCAGCCGCGGUAAU